rnacentral:rRNA from 1 species
UCAAAAAUCUAGCCUUUAGCCCCACAAGUAUUAAAGGUCCCGCCUGCCCAGUGACUCUUUAAACGGCCGCGGUAUCCUAACCGUGCAAAGGUAGCAUAAUCACUUGUCCCCUAAAUAGGGACUGGAAUGAACGGCUAAAUGAGGAUUAAACUGUCUCUUGCGAGCCGGUCAAUGAAUUUGAUUUUCCAGUUCAAAAGCUGGAAUUAACACAUAAGACGAGAAGACCCUGUGGAGCUUCAAAACCUAGUUCACCAAAUUAAUGCUUCCUUCGGUUUUUAGUUGGGGCGACUUCGGAGCACAAAAAAACCUCCAAAACAUGUAAACCCAUUAUAUUAAGAUCAACAAACCACAAAACCACAAGAUCCAGCAACAGCCCUUAAUGUUGUCUGACCAAUGAACCAAGUUACCCCAGGGAUAACAGCGCCAUCCCCUUCUAGAGUCCCUAUCGACAAGGGGGUUUACGACCUCGAUGUUGGAUCAGGACACCCCAAUGGUGCAGCCGCCACUAAAGGUUCGUUUGUUCAACGAUUAAAGUCCUA